UACGGAGGGGACUAGCGUUGUUCGGAAUUACUGGGCGUAAAGCGCACGUAGGCGGAUUUGUAAGUCAGGGGUGAAAUCCCGGGGCUCAACCUCGGAACUGCCUUUGAUACUGCAAUCUCGAGUCCGGAAGAGGUGAGUGGAAUUCCUAGUGUAGAGGUGAAAUUCGUAGAUAUUAGGAAGAACACCAGUGCGAAGGCGGCUCACUGGUCCGGUACUGACGUGAGGUGCGAAAGCGUGGGGAGCAAACAGG
rnacentral:rRNA from 1 species